UGGGGAAUAUUGGACAAUGGGGGGAACCCUGAUCCAGCCAUGCCGCGUGUGUGAAGAAGGCCUUAUGGUUGUAAAGCACUUUAAGCGAGGAGGAGGGUACUGGUAUUAAUACUACCAGGUACUGGACGUUACUCGCAGAAUAAGCACCGGCUAACUCUGUGCCAGCAGCCGCGGUAAUACAGAGGGUGCAAGCGUUAAUCGGAAUUACUGGGCGUAAAGCGCGCGUAGGUGGUUCGUUAAGUUGAAUGUGAAAGCCCCGGGCUCAACCUGGGAACUGCAUCCAAAACUGACGAGCUAGAGUAGGGCAGAGGGUGGUGGAAUUUCCUGUGUAGCGGUGAAAUGCGUAGAUAUAGGAAGGAACACCAGUGGCGAAGGCGACCACCUGGGCUCAUACUGACACUGAGGUGCGAAAGCGUGGGGAGCAAACAGG
rnacentral:rRNA from 1 species